rnacentral:rRNA from 1 species
GACCAGACUCCUACGGGAGGCAGCAGUGGGGAAUAUUGCACAAUGGGGGAAACCCUGAUGCAGCGACGCCGCGUGAGCGAUGAAGUAUUUCGGUAUGUAAAGCUCUAUCAGCAGGGAAGAAAAUGACGGUACCUGACUAAGAAGCCCCGGCUAACUACGUGCCAGCAGCCGCGGUAAUACGUAGGGGGCAAGCGUUAUCCGGAUUUACUGGGUGUAAAGGGAGCGUAGACGGCAAUGCAAGCCAGAUGUGAAAGCCCGGGGCUCAACCCCGGGACUGCAUUUGGAACUGUGUAGCUGGAGUGUCGGAGAGGCAGGCGGAAUUCCUAGUGUAGCGGUGAAAUGCGUAGAUAUUAGGAGGAACACCAGUGGCGAAGGCGGCCUGCUGGACGAUGACUGACGUUGAGGCUCGAAAGCGUGGGGAGCAAACAGGAUUAGAUACCCGAGUA